rnacentral:rRNA from 1 species
GAGCACGUAGGUGGGUUUGUAAGUCCGUCUGUGAAAUCCCUCGGCUUAACCGAGGAACUGCAGCGGAUACUGCAGGACUAGAGUUCAGGAGGGGAGAGUGGAAUUCCUGGUGGAGCGGUGAAAUGCGUAGAUAUCAGGAGGAACGCCGGUGGCGAAAGCGACUCUCUGGACUGGAACUGACGCUGAGGUGCGAAAGCCAGGGGAGCGAACGGGAUUAGAUACCCCGGUAGUCCUGGCCCUAAACGAUGGGCACUAAGUAGAGGGGUUUU